GGAGUGGUGGGAGGGGCGGUUGUGGAGUCAGUCACGGAAACCUGCUUGGCCCGCGUAGACAGGACCGCCCUACUCCUCUCAGACCCUAAGGUUCACAGGAGCUCUGAAAAAACAAGGUUCUUAAAAAUGGAAAACAAAGAUAUUAUUUGCACUUGACUUCUUACCUUCUUCUACUUCGUUUGCAAUGGCCUCCAGGUCAUCAGCAGUGAGGAAUUGAUUUAAACUCAACCGCCUCUUCUUCAGAAUCUUCCCAUUGGCUACCACCAUCACCACACUCUCCUUGAGGAGAGAGACAGAACACGAACAGGGGAGGGUCAGAGAGAGAGGAAGACACAGAAUCCGAAGCAGGCUCCAGGCUCUGAGCUGUCAGCACAAAGGCCGACGCUGGGCUCGAACCCACAGACCACAAGAUCAUGACCUGAGCUGAAGUCGGACGCUCAACAGACUGAGCCACCCAGGCGCCCCAAGCCAUGAGGGGGAAGAUGGCUGGGCUCACCGCGUCCUACUGAUCACUUAGAUUCCACCUACACCUGCCUAAAUAACCCAGAAAACUGCCAGAAGACUAGCAGAACGGAGUCUCCGGAGCCAAGCGCAGACGAGAGGCCCACGGAAGAGGGUGUACAAUAUGGUGAUUCAAUAAUUCUAUAUAUUAUUUGAUACUCAUCAUGGUAAGUGUACUCUGAAUAUUCUUUACCUAUUUCACUCAUCUCCCCACCACCCUCCAUUCUGGUAACCACCAGUUUUCUUCUCUAUAGUUAAGAGUCUAUUUUUUGGUUUGUCUCUUUUUUCUUUGCUAAUUUGUUUUGUUUAUUAAAUUCCAUAUGUGAGUGAAAUCAUACUGUAUUUGCCUUUCUUUCACUGACAUUUCACCUAGCAUUAUACCCUCUAGAUCUAUCCACAUUGUUGCAAAUAGCAAGAUCUCAUUCUUUUUAUGGCUUAGUAAUAAUCGUGUGUGUAUGUGUGUGUGUGUGUGUGUGUGUGUGUGUGUGUGUCUGCGUCUUUAUACCUCACAUCUUCUUUGUCCAUUCAUAUAGAUAGACACUUGGGUUGCUUCCAUAAUUUGGCUAUUGUAAAUAGUGCUGCAAUAAACAUAAGGGUGCAUAUAUCUUUUUGAAUUACUGUUUUCAUAUUCUUUGAGUAAAUACCCAGUAGUGGAAUUACUGGAUCAUAUGGUAAUUCUAUUUUUAAUUUUUUGAGGAACCGCCACGGUGUUUUCCAUAGUGGCUGCACCAGUUUGCAUUCCCACCCAACAGUGCAUGAAGGUUCCUUUUUUCCCAUAUCCUCACCAACACUUGUUCUUUUUUGUGUUUUUGAUUUUAGUCAUUCUGACAGGUGUGAGGUGAUAUCUCACUGUGCUUUUGAUUUGCAUUUUCCUGACGAUGAAUGAUGUUGAGCAUCUUUUCAUGUGUCUGUUGGCCAUUUGUGUGUCUUCUUUGGAGAAAUGUCUGUUCAUGUUUUCUGCCCAUUUUUUAAUUGGAUUAUUUGUUUCUUGGUGUUGAGUUGUGUAAGUUCUUUAUAUACUUUUGAUAGUAACCCCUUAUCACAUAUGUCAUUUGCAAAUAUCUUCUCCCAUUCCCUAUACUGUCUUUUUAGUUUUUUUUAUUGUUUCCUUUGCUGUGCAGAAGCCUUUUAUUUUGAUGUAGUCCCAAUGGUUUAUUUUUACUUUUAUUUCCCUUGCUUCAGGAGACAUAUCUAAAAAAAAAAAAUGUUGCUACAGCUGAUACCAGAAAUUACUGCCUGGGCUCUCUUCUAUAAUUUCUAUGGUUUCAUGCCUCGCUUUUAGUUCUUUAAUUCAUUUUGAAUUUAUUUUUUGUGUAUGGUGUAAGAAAGUAGCCUAGUUUUAAUCUUUUGCAUGUAGUCGUCCAGUUUUCCCAACAUGAUUUGUUGAAGAGACUGUCUUUCUCCCAUUGCAUAUUCUUACCCCCUUUGUCAAAGAUUAAUUGACCAUUUAAUCAUGGGUUUAUUUCUGGGCUCUCUAUUUGGGACUAUUGUUCUAUGUGUCUACUUUUGUGUCAGUACCAUACUGUUUUGAUUACUAUAGCUUUGUAGUAUAUCUUGAAAUCUGGGAUUGUGAUAAAUUAAACAAAACCUACAGUUUUGUUCUUCCUUUUUAAGAUUGCUUUGGCUUUUGGGGGUCUUUUGUGAUUCCAUAUAAAUUUUAGGAUUGUUUAUUCCAGUUCUGUGAAAAUGCUAUUGGUAUUUUGAUAGAAAUUGCAUUAAGUCUGUAGAUUGCUUUGGGUAGCCUGGACAUUUUAACAAUAUUUCUCUUCCCAAUCCAUGUGAAAUGGAAUAUCUUUCCAUUUGUUUGUGUCAUCUUCAAUUUCUUUCAUCAGUGUUUUAUAGCUUUCAGAGUUUCGUUGGUUUAUCCAUCUUGCUAGAAACUUUCUGCAGAUGUUUAGUGGCUUUUCUGCUUAUAUUCAAGGUUAGGCCACUUGAAAGCCAAUUGGAAGCUCUGAAUAUAUGGGUGAGGCCUGUUGGCUGUGAGUGCUGUCAUUUUAAUGACUUGGCAGGGCCACUGUAUUGGAGAAACCCUAAUAUUAGUAUUGACUUUAUUCUCUAGGGAAGCCUCGUUUAGUCUCCUGCCUAAAGGAUAAAUGCCUGGUAAGGAUCCUUCUGUAAGUGGCGUGGGGAAGAAGGUCUGGGAUUCUCAACAUCAUGCCGCAUGCUUUCAUUAAUCAUCCUGUUUUCAGUAUUUUUCUCCUACCUUCAAAUGUGCCUGGUGUCUCCCAUUACCCUUUAUUUUACAUUUUCUACAGAAUAAACUUGCUCUCUUCUACUAGUAUGGGAAAGGUGAUCUGUGGAUAUAACUGUUAGUUUUUUCCCCCUGUUAAUGUCAUUUUUGUUAUUACCAGAUGUUAAAUUAUUAUCAUGUCCUUCUUCAAAAAGACUGAACCAGUCAGCAACAAAUGAGAAUUUCCUCAUAGUUCUGCCAGUACUUUUAAAAGACAGUGUUAUUGAGGUAAAACUGACAUAUACUAAACUGCAUGUAAUUUAAACUGUGUAAUUUAUGUUUAACAUACCCCCUUUAAACCAUCACCAAGUCAAGAUAGUGAACAUAUUUAUUAUCUGUUUCCUCAGGACUCUUUGCAAUUCCUUCGUCUCCCCUUCUUUAUUCCCAAGCAAAGACUGACCUAUUUUCUGUCACUAUAGAUAGUUUACAUUUUCUAGACUUUUAUGUAAAUAGAAUCAUAUAAUAUAUAUUUACAAAUGUACUUUUUCUUUGGUUUGUAACCAUUAAUUUUUUUAAGUUUAUUUAUUUAGAGAGAGAGUGAGAGUAAGUGUGUGCAGGUGGGCAAGGAGCAGAGAGAGAGGGAGAGAGAGAAACCUAAGCAGUCUCUGUACUGUCAGCACAGAGCCAGAUGUGGGGCUCGAACUCACAAACCAUGAGAUCAUGACUUGAGCUGAAAUCAAGAGUCAGAUGCUUAACUGAGCCAUCCAAGCACCAUUUUUUAAACUGGUUUCCAAACAGUUUUCCUUAUUUUACCUUCUCCUCCAGUCUCAAAUGUACUAGAUGUUGGUUGGUUCUCAGCUUUUCCACUGCUGACUUAAGAACAAUUUCCUCUUGUCCAACUUCUUUCCAGCUUUCAAUAUUUUUUUUCUUUAAAAAACUCCUGUGUGGGAUGGGGAACUUUUGAAUUUUUGUUGUGAAUGUGAACUCAAUGAAGUGUAUGCCCAGGAGUUGCCUGAUCAAAACAGUUCAUACCACCGCCAUUGUUGCUGUGUCCUUUUCUCUUCUCUCCAUGCUUGUGGGUUUGUGCCUUUAAGAUCCCUUUCAGGUUAUUUAAUGAUGUUUGCAAAAAGGAACAGAAUUAGGUGAAAGAGUUCAUAUCUGUCAUCUUUGUCUGGAAGCUGAGACUGUUCAUACAUGAAGGUUUACUAGAAAGUUCUGUGCUGGCUGGAGAUGUCAGAGCAUGUGUGAAGCAGUUGCUGGAGGAAAAUAAAGUCAUUUCUUGUUUAUAAUUCACUAAGUUCAGACUGCCAAAUAUACUAGUUACAUUUGGUAUUCAGUAAAAUGUAGGUUCUCCUCCUGCCCUCCUUUCCUCUCUCCUUCUCUCCAUUAUUCCCUCCUUUCCUCCUUCCACUUUAGCAGCUGCUGUGGGGAAACUUCUCAGGAAAUUUCUGUUCUCGGAGGAGAAUGUGCCAGCCCACAGGUAAGGGAGACAUUUUGCAAGAAUAAAAGAGUUGUUGCAGCUCAAUUUAGGAUAGUGUGAAGGUCAUUGAAGAUAUCUCAGGAGUUAGCUGGUUAGGGCA